CAGCCCUGUAGGAGACACCUCCAGAGAAAGUAACAGCUCUCAAUUGAUUAGCUGAGGAGACCGAUUUUGUAAAUCACUACUUUUCUAACAACACUGGCACAGAUGGCCAAGCAUUCUCCCUUUUCUCAGAGCUGGUUUUCCAUCCCGGAAAGAGGUCUUACAUAUACAAAGUUACUCUAAUCAGUUGUAAGCCUCAGGGGCUGGAUCCUGACAUGAACCAGACACCUCCAGAAUUCUAUCCCAAGCAAAAGAUUAUUUCAAGGCCAGAACUCACUCCCUGCUGGAGACUGACUACAAGAUCCACUGAGAUUGAUGUGUAACCUGAUUGGGCCCACAGUGAUGCUAGCCCCUUCACCAGAUGGAACAAUAAUUCCAGACAAGCCAUCAGAGCAGAGAGCAGAGAAGAGGAGAAGCAGCUGGAUGUCAGAGACUGCAGUUUGACGUUGGAGAAAAGCAGCUUGACUUCAGAGGGACAGCUUGACAGCAUGGAUUCAGAGAGGAGAAGAUCACCUUCCUGCUCCGUCCCCUUUCCAGCUCCCUUUCCCACUGAGAGCCACUUACACAGGCAAUAAAAUCCUCUGCAUUCACCACCCUU
rnacentral:lncRNA from 10 species